CUUUAAGGUACGGUGAUCAUGUCUUUAAGGUACGGUGAUCAUGUCUUUAAGGUACGGUGAUCAUGUCUUUAAGGUACGGUGAUCAUGUCUUUAAGGUACGGUGAUCAGGUCUUUAAGGUACGGUGAUCAGGUCUUUAAGGUACGGUGAUCAUGUCUUUAAGGUACGGUGAUCAUGUCUUUAAGGUACGGUGAUCAUGUCUUUAAGGUACGGUGAUCAUGUCUUUAAGGUACGGUGAUCAUGUCUUUAAGGUACGGUGAUCAUGUCUUUAAGGUACGGUGAUCAGGUCUUUAAGGUACGGUGAUCAGGUCUUUAAGGUACGGUGAUCAUGUCUUUAAGGUACGGUGAUCAGGUCUUUAAGGUACGGUGAUCAGGUCUUUAAGGUACGGUGAUCAUGUCUUUAAGGUACGGUGAUCAGGUCUUUAAGGUACGGUGAUCAUGUCUUUAAGGUACGGUGAUCAUGUCUUUAAGGUACGGUGAUCAUGUCUUUAAGGUACGGUGAUCAUGUCUUUAAGGUACGUGAUCAUGUCUUUAAGGUACGGUGAUCAUGUCUUUAAGGUACGGUGAUCAUGUCUUUAAGGUACGGUGAUCAUGUCUUUAAGGUACGGUGAUCAUGUCUUUAAGGUACGGUGAUCAGGUCUUUAAGGUACGGUGAUCAGGUCUUUAAGGUACGGUGAUCAUGUCUUUAAGGUACGGUGAUCAUGUCUUUAAGGUACGGUGAUCAUGUCUUUAAGGUACGGUGAUCAUGUCUUUAAGGUACGGUGAUCAGGUCUUUAAGGUACGGUGAUCAGGUCUUUAAGGUACGGUGAUCAGGUCUUUAAGGUACGGUGAUCAUGUCUUUAAGGUACGGUGAUCAUGUCUUUAAGGUACGGUGAUCAGGUCUUUAAGGUACGGUGAUCAGGUCUUGAAACGUUCCUGUGUUUCCUUUUCAUUAGUAUAUAUUUACAUAUUACAUAUCUUUAAUAUAUUUACGUUUCAUUUGGAGAUGUCUGUCGCGAAGGACACACACCUUUUUUGGGGGAGAAACUGACACUGUCAAACUAUUGGCAGGGACUUGAUGAUGAAAGCCUUUACUGCUCUCCAAUUGGCUGCGUCAGAGUUCUCAUGCUAAUGAGGCUCCCUUAUUUCUGUCCAAUGAACUGGAGGAAGGGAGAAACUCGCCAAUCAACAGCCAACAAAGUACCAUUCUAUUUGAAUUGAAGUGAAUGUACAUAAUGUACAUGUCUGUGAGAUAAUUUAUCUUUCCUUGGAUUCUUUAAGGUCCUUUUCC